UCUCUGUUUUUCUUCUCUUCUCCGUCGGGCGGGCUUCAUCCUUACCGCUGGUGGGCUUGUCUCCCCACCGCCGCCUGUUGGUCUGUUCUGUUCCCUCAACUGGUCGUUUCUUUCUGUCAGGUGGACGCAGCUGAAUUCGUUCCUCUUUUCUGCUUUGUUUCGUGGCUGUUAGAGAUUGGAGCUCCACGUCCGUGGCUGAUUUGUAUUUGUUGCCACUGAGAUUUGUUGGGAGGCACUGAUUCCCACCAGUAAUACCAUCCAUCAACGACAUCAACCACACAAAUGGAAGAGCCUUUUAGAAUAACAACAACAAUCAACAAAACAAAGUAGUCGACGAUGGAGGAGAGGGUAGGAUAAAGCAUCAAUGGUGAAGAAUCGAAGAUCUUUUAGUUGUUCAAAAGUCGUUGCAUCAGGAAAAAGAAGAAUCAAAGAUUUGGUCACGGUCAUGUUCCUGAAGCCAUCGCAUAACUGAAAUGAAGAAGAGUCGAAGAGGAAGAGGAAUCAAAGACCCAGCCAAUAUGUCGAUUCUUCACGAUCACCAAAUCGAGAUCGUUCUUAGCCCCUGAGUUAUGGUUCUCAUUGGAAGCAACUACCGCUGAGGAAGGUGGUCUGAUAUUUGUAAUGGAAAACGUGGGUCAACUUGAGAAUGAAGGGAGGGAAGUAGAAUGACAUUGUGUAAAUCGCCGGUUGGGUUGGUCGGCCUUUUUCUAUUUACACACGCACUGUUCUCUCUGUCUUUGAGCUCUGAACCAUCCUUCCCUGUCUCUCAUCGUUUGCAGGAACAUUGUGGAGGUUGCUGAUGGUUGCUGGAGGUCGCCAACACUGAUUGUUGGAGGUUGUCAUUGAAGGUCGACGGUGAACGUUGACAGGAGCUAGAGAGAGAAAAGGGUAAAAAGUGAAAAAGGAAAGAUGGAAUUGAAAAACUGAGCUUUUGUGAUGGAAGCCAAUUACAUCAAUUUUGGUGGAAUUGAGUUCCGCAUGGAAUUCAUUUCUGACAUACCAAACUAGCAAUUUUUUGAAUUACUUUUCCAUUUCCAAUUCUAAGACUAGAAUUCUAGUGUACGAAACAAGAUCUUAAGGUUUUUGAUUUAGAAGUGGAGUCGAGUUUAAUUAUAUAUAUAUAUAUAUCCCCUAUAUGAUGUUAAGGCAAAACUCAUCCAUGCUUUGGGAUACUCCAGAGCCUAGUUAUUGGUAUCAAAGCUCUAUUCACAACAUGGACUCUUGUGAAGAUUGUGGAGAAAAUGCCAAUGCUUAUUGCAUGUUUGCUGGGAACUUGAGGACCACUACCAUAUGGACCAAUAAUGGACCAUUAGUUAAAAUAAUUUGUUUCUAUGUGUUGCCAACUGGGCUGCCUCUCCAGAUUAUCAUCGUUCAAUCGGAGGAUAUUUUUUUCCCUUGGUGAUUCACUGGUUUCUUGGUCAUCAAAGAGACAAUCUGUUGUUUCCUAUUUUUGUGCUGA